AACGCGUGAGCAAAUCUGGCCUUUACAGGGGGAUAACCACCAGGGAAAAUUUGUACUAAUACCGCAUAUUAUUAUUUAAUCGCAUGAUUGAGUGAUGAAAGUGGAAACACGGUAAAGGGGGAGCUCGCGUUCUAUUAGAUAGUUGGUGGGGUAACGGCCUACCAAGUCAACGAUAGAUAGCCGACCUGAGAGGGUGAUCGGCCACACUGGAACUGAGACACGGUCCAGACUUCUACGGAAGGCAGCAGUAGGGAAUAUUGCACAAUGGGCGGAAGCCUGAUGCAGCGACGCCGCGUGGGGGAUGACGGCCUUCGGGUUGUAAACCUCUUUCGACAGGGACGAAGCCUUGUAGGUGACGGUACCUGUAUAAGAAGCACCGGCUAACUACGUGCCAGCAGCCGCGGUAAUACGUAGGGUGCGAGCGUUGUCCGGAAUUACUGGGCGUAAGGAGCUCGUAGGUGGUUUGUCGCGUCGUCUGUGAAAUUCCGGGGCUUAACCUCGGGCGUGCAGGCGAUACGGGCAAUACUUGAGUGCUGUAGGGGAGACUGGAAUUCCUGGUGUAGCGGUGAAAUGCGCAGAUAUCAGGAGGAACACCGGUGGCGAAGGCAGGUCUCUGGGCAGUAACUGACGCUGAGGAGCGAAAGCAUGGGUAGCGAACAGGAUUAGAUACCCUGGUAGUCCAUGCCGUAAACGGUGGGCGCUAGGUGUAGGGGUCUUCCACGACUUCUGUGCCGUAGCUAACGCAU
rnacentral:rRNA from 1 species